AACGUGGGGUAAUGGGAGCGGUCGGGCAAUGGGAGCUAUGGUGUUUUAGCGGAAUGCAGACACAUUUGCGCGAUCGUUGGUACUGGGCUACUUCCGUCGACAAUCGGCAAACUUCGCCUGACGCGCUUGAACCGUUAGUGCCAUUCGUUUAGUCACAAGGGACAGUUGUGUGUUUUUCGCUCCACGCUUACAAGAAAUUGCCGAUUGCCAUUAUCAAGAUGCCACGUAAAAGAACUCGGACAACAACAAAAGCUUCUUGGACAGUGGAUUCAUUAGAAAAUGCGGUAUUUGUUCGACAGUAGCUACAAAAACUCACCUAAGCUGGAAAGACGUACUGUAUUUGCCCAAGAAGAAAAGCCAAACCAAGCGUUUUAUUAUAUUGAUAAUUGUAAAAACUAGAUCUCAUGCAUAGUAUACGUUUUGUUAUUUUUUUCUUUAAUAGUAAUUAUAAUGGCUCCCAUUUUCCCUAUGAGCGUUAAAUGGGCUCUCAUUACCCGCAUUUGUCGGGUAAUAGGAGCGACUGACUUUUUUUAGUAAAACGCUAAUUGUACCUUAUUUCAUGUCUGUACUUGAUUAUAACUAUGAUUAAAAUGUUCUCUAAUAAUGAAGUUAAGAGUUUAUAAUAAAAAAAUACAAUAAUUUCGGCUAA